rnacentral:rRNA from 1 species
CCUACGGGUGGCUGCAGUGAGGAAUAUUGGUCAAUGGACGAGAGGCUGAACCAGCCAAGUCGCGUGAGGGAAGACGGCCCUACGGGUUGUAAACCUCUUUUGUCGGGGAGCAAAGAGAGUCACGUGUGACUCAUUGAGAGUACCCUAAGUAAAAGCAUCGGCUAACUCCGUGCCAGAAGCCGCGGUAAUACGGGGGAUGCGAGCGUUAGCCGGAUUGAUUGGGUUUAAAGGGUGGGUAGGCGGAAGGUUAAGUCAGCGGUAAAACGUCGGUGCUCAACACCGGCCUGCCGUUGAAACUGGUCUUCUUGAGUGAGCGAGAAGUAUGCGGAAUGCGUGGUGUAGCGGUGAAAUGCAUAGAUAUAACGCAGAACUCCGAUGGCGAAGGCAGCAUACCGGCGCCCUACUGACGCUGAGGCACGAAAGUGCGGGUAUCGAACAGGAUUAGAUACCCGAGUAGUC